GUAGUCUCGCACAGAUGCAUAUCAAUAAGCGGAGGAAAAGAAACUAACAAGGAUUCCCCUAGUAACGGCGAGUGAAGCGGGAAGAGCUCAAAUUUGAAAUCUUAAAGGGUUUCCCUUUACGAAUUGUAGUUUAAAGAAGUGUUUUCUGUUGAGGUUUUGGUAAAAGUUCUUUGGAAUAGGACAUCAUAGAGGGUGAGAAUCCCGUAUUUGACCUUUACUUUCAACUUUGUGAUACACUUUCAAAGAGUCGGAUUGUUUGGGAAUGCAGUCCAAAAUGGGUGGUAAAUUUCAUCUAAAGCUAAAUAUUGGCAAGAGUCCGAUAGCGAACAAGUACCGUGAGGGAAAGAUGAAAAGAACUUUGAAAAGAGAGUUAAACAGUACGUGAAAUUGUCAAAAGGGAAGCGUUUGACACCAGUGUUGUUUUUCUGAAAAUCAAUUAAAGAACUGUUUAUGCUAAGCUGUUUAGACUUUAUCAGCUAACUGUUUAGUUUUGAGCUUUUCUUUAAUGCACUUUUCAGUUAACAAGUCAACAUCAAUUUCUUUUGCUGUAAAAAAGCUUGAGGAAGGUGGCUUGAGAUUCGUCUUAAGUGUUUAUAGCCUCUUGCCUAUGCAGUCGGAGAGAUUGAGGUCUGCAGCGUAGAUCCUUCGGGGCUAAAUGCAUUUGUGCUAAGUUAUAGCAUUUUAUAGACAACUUGUUGACUAUGAUUUGUCUUGUAGCUUACUCGCUUAUGUUAUUUUACCUACGCUUAGGAUGUUGAUCUGUAGUGCGUGCGC
rnacentral:rRNA from 1 species